CUGUGGCAGGGGGGCGGUCAUGGAUUUUCUGAAGCCUCCUCAUUAACUCUCUAGGAUCUAUUAGAAAACAAAUAGGAAAAUCUGUGCUUAGGAACGAGACAAUCUUGUGUGGAAGACACAGUGUGCACACAUUUAGAAAAGACCUAGGAAUGCUUCCAUGAUGUAAUCACAGGCUUGAAGGCUUUGUACGGACUUUGUACAUAGGAGAACACAGAGUACAGACAUGAAGUCAGAAAGAGCUAAGCAAUACAUGUAGAUUCAAGUCAAGGAAAAACUAUAUUUCAGGUAGAGGCAGGGAAGAAUAGGGAAGGGAACAGUCAAAAAUUCGCAUUUUAUGCGGAGCGCCUCACCUGCCCUUCAGCAGCAGGCUCUUCUCUUGUACCGCUUCCGCGGCCGGUUCUGGUCCUUCUGGUGCACUGCGGCACGUCCACGAUGGGCCGCAUGGGCGCCCGGGGGUCUCUGGGCGGGAACACACGGAAGUGGAUGCAACACAGGAACUGCCGGAGCUCCCAGGCAACCAACUUCCUCCAGCCUCUACUCAGGCGGACUUCGGGGCCAGGCGCGUCCGCAUCCCACGCAGUGUCUCGGGGGCGCCCGCCAGGCUCUGAGGGCUGUUGUGCAGGAGCCGCUGAACUUGAGUGUGCUUUUGGGAACCUUGCCAAGCGGUCUGAUGGCUGUCGUCUGAUGAUGCCAUGUGAAGUCUUUAAUAAGCUGACAUUUCCUGUUGCUAAGCUGCCAUGCCUGAAAGCCAAACCAAAUAGUGUUUGGGCUCUUUAGAUCCCAAACUCUGUUUUUGUCUCUUUCUCUUUCUUCUCCUUACUCAGUUCUCAGCUCUGCCCACCUUGUUUCUCCAUCUAGCUUGUAUAUAUGUGCAAUACAAGGGUCAGAUGACAGUUACUGCCUCCCAACCAACUGAACUACUGAAAAACCCUUGAGAGCAGAGCUGCCUGGGCUGCGAUGCUGGCUUUGUUAUGAGACACAGAGGGAAUAUUGGCUGAGAGUGUUUCCGGUGAAAGGGAGAAACUUUUCUGAGAAGGCAAAUGGGAGCUUGUCAGUUGGGUUAGUGGAGGAAGCAACAAGCUUUUCUGUUUCAAAGCUCUCGUGACUGUUAAUUGAAACAUGAAUAAAAGUGCUGAAGUUAAGGAAGUAAAAAUUGGG
rnacentral:lncRNA from 1 species